UACGAAGGGGACUAGCGUUGUUCGGAAUUACUGGGCGUAAAGCGCACGUAGGCUGGGUGGCCAGUCAGAGGUGAAAUCCCGGAGCUCAACUUCGGAACUGCCUUUGAUACAGCCACCCUCGAGUCCGGAAGAGGUGAGUGGAAUUCCUAGUGUAGAGGUGAAAUUCGUAGAUAUUAGGAAGAACACCAGUGGCGAAGGCGGCUCACUGGUCCGGUACUGACGCUGAGGUGCGAAAGCGUGGGGAG
rnacentral:rRNA from 1 species